rnacentral:rRNA from 2 species
UUAAGCGACUAAGCGUACACGGUGGAUGCCCUGGCAGUCAGAGGCGAUGAAGGACGUGCUAAUCUGCGAUAAGCGUCGGUAAGGUGAUAUGAACCGUUAUAACCGGCGAUUUCCGAAUGGGGAAACCCAGUGUGAUUCGUCACACUAUCAUUAACUGAAUCCAUAGGUUAAUGAGGCGAACCGGGGGAACUGAAACAUCUAAGUACCCCGAGGAAAAGAAAUCAACCGAGAUUCCCCCAGUAGCGGCGAGCGAACGGGGAGCAGCCCAGAGCCUGAAUCAGUGUGUGUGUUAGUGGAAGCGUCUGGAAAGGCGCGCGAUACAGGGUGACAGCCCCGUACACAAAAAUGCACAUGCUGUGAGCUCGAUGAGUAGGGCGGGACACGUGGUAUCCUGUCUGAAUAUGGGGGGACCAUCCUCCAAGGCUAAAUACUCCUGACUGACCGAUAGUGAACCAGUACCGUGAGGGAAAGGCGAAAAGAACCCCGGCGAGGGGAGUGAAAAAGAACCUGAAACCGUGUACGUACAAGCAGUGGGAGCACGCUUAGGCGUGUGACUGCGUACCUUUUGUAUAAUGGGUCAGCGACUUAUAUUCUGUAGCAAGGUUAACCGAAUAGGGGAGCCGAAGGGAAACCGAGUCUUAACUGGGCGUUAAGUUGCAGGGUAUAGACCCGAAACCCGGUGAUCUAGCCAUGGGCAGGUUGAAGGUUGGGUAACACUAACUGGAGGACCGAACCGACUAAUGUUGAAAAAUUAGCGGAUGACUUGUGGCUGGGGGUGAAAGGCCAAUCAAACCGGGAGAUAGCUGGUUCUCCCCGAAAGCUAUUUAGGUAGCGCCUCGUGAAUUCAUCUCCGGGGGUAGAGCACUGUUUCGGCAAGGGGGUCAUCCCGACUUACCAACCCGAUGCAAACUGCGAAUACCGGAGAAUGUUAUCACGGGAGACACACGGCGGGUGCUAACGUCCGUCGUGAAGAGGGAAACAACCCAGACCGCCAGCUAAGGUCCCAAAGUCAUGGUUAAGUGGGAAACGAUGUGGGAAGGCCCAGACAGCCAGGAUGUUGGCUUAGAAGCAGCCAUCAUUUAAAGAAAGCGUAAUAGCUCACUGGUCGAGUCGGCCUGCGCGGAAGAUGUAACGGGGCUAAACCAUGCACCGAAGCUGCGGCAGCGACGCUGAUGCGUUGUUGGGUAGGGGAGCGUUCUGUAAGCCUGUGAAGGUGUGCUGUGAGGCAUGCUGGAGGUAUCAGAAGUGCGAAUGCUGACAUAAGUAACGAUAAAGCGGGUGAAAAGCCCGCUCGCCGGAAGACCAAGGGUUCCUGUCCAACGUUAAUCGGGGCAGGGUGAGUCGACCCCUAAGGCGAGGCCGAAAGGCGUAGUCGAUGGGAAACAGGUUAAUAUUCCUGUACUUGGUGUUACUGCGAAGGGGGGACGGAGAAGGCUAUGUUGGCCGGGCGACGGUUGUCCCGGUUUAAGCGUGUAGGCUGGUUUUCCAGGCAAAUCCGGAAAAUCAAGGCUGAGGCGUGAUGACGAGGCACUACGGUGCUGAAGCAACAAAUGCCCUGCUUCCAGGAAAAGCCUCUAAGCAUCAGGUAACAUCAAAUCGUACCCCAAACCGACACAGGUGGUCAGGUAGAGAAUACCAAGGCGCUUGAGAGAACUCGGGUGAAGGAACUAGGCAAAAUGGUGCCGUAACUUCGGGAGAAGGCACGCUGAUAUGUAGGUGAAGUCCCUCGCGGAUGGAGCUGAAAUCAGUCGAAGAUACCAGCUGGCUGCAACUGUUUAUUAAAAACACAGCACUGUGCAAACACGAAAGUGGACGUAUACGGUGUGACGCCUGCCCGGUGCCGGAAGGUUAAUUGAUGGGGUUAGCGCAAGCGAAGCUCUUGAUCGAAGCCCCGGUAAACGGCGGCCGUAACUAUAACGGUCCUAAGGUAGCGAAAUUCCUUGUCGGGUAAGUUCCGACCUGCACGAAUGGCGUAAUGAUGGCCAGGCUGUCUCCACCCGAGACUCAGUGAAAUUGAACUCGCUGUGAAGAUGCAGUGUACCCGCGGCAAGACGGAAAGACCCCGUGAACCUUUACUAUAGCUUGACACUGAACAUUGAGCCUUGAUGUGUAGGAUAGGUGGGAGGCUUUGAAGUGUGGACGCCAGUCUGCAUGGAGCCGACCUUGAAAUACCACCCUUUAAUGUUUGAUGUUCUAACGUUGACCCGUAAUCCGGGUUGCGGACAGUGUCUGGUGGGUAGUUUGACUGGGGCGGUCUCCUCCUAAAGAGUAACGGAGGAGCACGAAGGUUGGCUAAUCCUGGUCGGACAUCAGGAGGUUAGUGCAAUGGCAUAAGCCAGCUUGACUGCGAGCGUGACGGCGCGAGCAGGUGCGAAAGCAGGUCAUAGUGAUCCGGUGGUUCUGAAUGGAAGGGCCAUCGCUCAACGGAUAAAAGGUACUCCGGGGAUAACAGGCUGAUACCGCCCAAGAGUUCAUAUCGACGGCGGUGUUUGGCACCUCGAUGUCGGCUCAUCACAUCCUGGGGCUGAAGUAGGUCCCAAGGGUAUGGCUGUUCGCCAUUUAAAGUGGUACGCGAGCUGGGUUUAGAACGUCGUGAGACAGUUCGGUCCCUAUCUGCCGUGGGCGCUGGAGAACUGAGGGGGGCUGCUCCUAGUACGAGAGGACCGGAGUGGACGCAUCACUGGUGUUCGGGUUGUCAUGCCAAUGGCACUGCCCGGUAGCUAAAUGCGGAAGAGAUAAGUGCUGAAAGCAUCUAAGCACGAAACUUGCCCCGAGAUGAGUUCUCCCUGACUCCUUGAGAGUCCUGAAGGAACGUUGAAGACGACGACGUUGAUAGGCCGGGUGUGUAAGCGCAGCGAUGCGUUGAGCUAACCGGUACUAAUGAACCGUGAGGCUUAACCUU